CCACUCAAGACUGGUUGCCAACUGGAUUUAACUCCAUUCACCACCACUCUCUGGGCCCAGUCCUCCAGCCAGCUCCUUACCCAGCAAAGACUGUACCUGUCCAAGCCACAGGCUGCCAGCUUUUCCAGGAGAAUUCUGUGGGGGACAGUGUUGAAGGCUUUGCUGAAGUCAAGGUAGACCACAUCAACAGCCUUUCCCUCAUCCACCAGGUGGGUCUCUACAUCAUAGAAGGAGACCAGGUUGGUCAAGCAGGACCUGCCCUUUCUGAGCCCAUGCUGGCUAGACCUGAUCCCUCAGUUGUCCUGCACAUGCUGUAUGAUCUCUCUAAAGAUGAUCUGCUCCGUAACAUUUCCUGGCACCGAGGUUAGGCAGACAGGCUUGUAGUUCCUCAGAUAUUCUUUACUACCAUUCUUGUAGAUUGGAGUCACACUGGCAUGACUCCAAUCCUCUGGGACCUCUCCAGUUGACCAGGAAUGGUGAUAGAUGGUGGAAAACUGCUUGGCCAGCUGCCUCAGUACCCUUGGGUGGAUCCCACCUGUCCCCAUGGCAUUUCCGUGUAAAUCUUGGGGUUUUUUUCUGCUCCUUAUCCCAGACUUCUAAGCCAGGGAGUACAGCACCCCAAGGAUAACUGGUCUGACUUUUAAAGACAGACAUAAAAAAGCCAUUGAGAACCUCAGCCUUUUCCCUAUCCUCAGUGGUCACAUUCCCUGCCACAUCCAGUAAAGGACGAAUAUUCUUCUUAGCCCUCCUCUUAUUGUCAAUAUAUUUGUAAAAAAAUUUUUUUGUUCUCUUACCACAGCAGCCAAGUUGAGUUCAAGCUGGACUGUUGCCUUUCUAAUUUUCUCCCUGCAUACCAUAACAGCUUCUUUGUACUCUCCCUAAGUUGCCUGUCCCUUCUUCCACAGGAGGUAGAUUCUUUUUUUCUCCUGGAGUUCCCUGUUCAUCCCCGCCAGUCUUCUUCCCUGCUGGCUCAUCUUGCAGCACAGGAGGACAGCCUGCUCCUGGGCCUUUAAGACUUCCUUCUCCAGGAGCGACCAGCCUUCCUGGACCCUCUUACUCAUCAGGACUGAAUCCCAAGGGACCCUCCCUACCAGUGUCCUGAACAGUUCAGAGUCCGCCCUCCAGAAGUCCAAGGUAGCAGAUUUGCUGGCCCCUCUCCUGACUUCACUAAGAAUCGAGAACUCAUUCGUGGUCAUUCUGUCCAAGACAGCUCCUGACCUUCACAUCUCCCACCAGUCCUUCUCUGUUUGUGAACAGGAGGUCUAGCGGGGCACCUCCCUAGUAGGCUUUCUUACCAGCUGCAUCAGGAAGUUAUCUUCCACACACACUAGAAACCUCCUAGACUGCUUCUUCUGUGCUGUAUUGUAUUUCCAACGUGUAUCAGGGAAGUUGGAGGUUCCCCAUGAGAACAAGGGCUGGUAAUCGUGCAGCUUCUGCCAGCUGGUUAUAUUAUGCCUCAUCUGUCUCUUCAUCCUCGGUAGGUGGACUACAGCAGACCCCCACCAGGAUGUCAGCCUUGUUGGCCUUCCCUCUGAUCCUUACCCAUAGGAGCUCGACCUUAUCAUUUCCAGCCCCAAGCUCAACAUCAAAACACUCUUUAACAUAGAGAGCCACACCACCACCCCUUCUUCCUUGCUUAUCCCUUCUGAUGAGCUUACAUCCAUCCAAUGCAGCACUCCAGUCGUGGGAGCAAUCCCACCAUGUUUCCGUAAUGGCAACUAAGUCAUAGUUUGCCUCCUGCUUGAUGGCUUUCAUCUCCUACUGUCUGUUGCCCGUGCUGUGUCCAUUGGUGUAGAAGCACUUGAGCUUUUCAGCUUCACCCUUGCCCCACCCCCAGUGCUGUCAUCGUUCCCCUAGGCUCAUGGCCCUCCCCAUGCAACCUGCCGCGCCACGCCCUUCUGACAUGCUACACCAUUUGCCUGUCCUGUUUAUGCCACUUCUGUGUCACUCAGCUCCCUAGCAGCAGGAUUUGUACACGCAGGGGUGAUCCCGCCGCUGCCCCUGGCUCCGCCCACGCGACGUCGGAACGGCGGUGCCACGCGGUGGGCAAUGGUGGCCGGGGGUGCUGCCUGGCAGGGUGCUUCUCAACCAGCCGAGGGAAUUCCCUGCUUCGGAGUGGAAGGGGCCGUUCGAGAGCUGAGUACCUUGCCAGAAAGGUCAUACUGGCUAUGACAGCUCGAACUGUUUGAAAGACUUUGGAGUAGCCUUUUGCUAUUGCAAGGUGGUGGUAUUUUUUUUCCCUCAAGACUCUGUCUUCCAUUUUACAGUCUUUUUUUUUUUUUUUUUUUUUAAACCAACAGCCAGGUGUUUAUUAGUUUCUUGGCACUAUUUUACCUUAUGUCAGAAUUUCCAUGGCAGUUUUAGGGUGGCAGAAUCCUCAAAAGUUACUCCUUGCCCUUGAGGUCAGCUGUACGUUUUCUAACUGUUCUUGAGCAGACUUCUGGAAUUUAUGUGCCUUAGUUCUCCACACAGAAAUGACAUUUCUGUUGUUGUCUAUCUAAACUGUGGGCUCUCUAAGACAGGCAUACAAGUUACCAUUUUCCAGGAUUUGACCAUGUUCAGGUUACCGGGUUCAGGUUGAGAGGUGGUGAAGCUGCAAUCUCAGGACCCACAGAAGGGAAAACUGAGUGCCCGCAGCCUCUCUCUGAGCACUGGUUGCAGAGCCCCACCAAGUCCCGGAGCCAGAGCACAGGCUUCAUCAGCUCAUCAAUUAAGAAGGUGCUAAAUCAAACACCACGAGGCCUUAACCAAGCUGUGAGCCUGUUUUUUAUCAUUCAGUACAAAUUUUAAAAAGAGUGAUAUAGGAUGCAGAAAGAAGCAAGAACAGCACCUUUUUCCUAAACCUUAUUUCAGGAUUUUAGAAACGCUAUUCCAAAAAUAUUGGUACAAGAAAAGAAGCACCAGAAUUCCCUUCAUCUCUUGCACUCCAGUACUGCAGAUAUAUACUUUAACAACCAUCUGAAAAAUAAAUUAUUAGAUAUUGUCACAUUGCUGCUAAGUGGAGGCUAGUUAUUCAUAGACCUGUUCAUGAAAAUUCAGGCUUUUGUUCAAUCUAAAUUUUGAAACUAUUUAUUCAAAGGUAGUAUUUACAUUUUUCCAACCUCCUUAUUACCGAGCAAUAAAAACUCUUACCGAAAAAAAAACAUUGCUAGGUUCAUAGAAAUGGUCAGACAUCUUUGAAACUGCUGAACAGCUUAAGGUAGGAGAAAAUCAAGUAUUCAAGAUUCUGUGAGUUUUAUUCUAACUUAGCAGGGUCUAUUUUUUAAAAAGAAUGACCUUUUUUAUAUGUUUCCAGGCUCAUUCAAAAACUGUCAAAACACAAUAGUUGCUAAUACCUUGCUCUCACAGUUACAGAGAAUGUCUAUGAAGAAUAACAUUAUUUGUCAAUGAACAAGUACGAAUGAAGUAUACUGUUUAUAGACAACCUUCAGCCUGUGUUCAGUAUUAGUGUGGUGCUCUUGCAGAACAGCUUUGUAGUUGUCUCAGAAGCGGGUUUGCAGUGACCUCUGGAGGACAGACUUGAGACAGGGUCUGUUCACGUUCCAGACUCACUUUUGGGAAUUCGUAAUUGUACUGAACUCAAAUGUAGGUUCUCCAUCUUAAUCAGGGUGUAGAUCCUUUGCCUAUCCAUACCAGGGUUAGAAACUCCUGACCUUCAGUCUUUGAUGCCCCAAGUGCUACAGUGGCAGUGUGGCAGACCUUCCUCUGACUCCUGAAGCCUUUGGAAAUUUUAAGUACCAGCUUUGACUACACUAGGGAUUCUGAAGGAUAUUUCCUAUGAAAUGUUUGUUUUGUUUUGCUUUUUGCUUUUUUGCUAGGUUUCAAGUUUCACAGUAUGCAGAGAUGCCCCAGUAACCAGGUUCUGGAAGAACCAGCAGUUCGGAGAGAGUGGAAAAAGGACUAGUCCCAAGGGAACAGUUGUUACUGAGAGAUACAGCCACCACACACACAACAUUCAAUUAAUUAUGUCUACUGAGAGUAUCUCAUUAGCAGCUGUGUUACAAAACAGGGACUUUUUGUGCAGGAUGAAAAACUUUUUGUACUCUGGCCUCUUGAGAGGUAUUAUCAGAGUGACAGCGAUACCUGAAAGUAUUCAGUUAGAUCUCCACUGAUUUACAGGCCCAGUUUCUAAACCAAAAAGAAAAUAAUUAAAAAAUAUGUAUAUUAGUAGGAAAAUCUUGGCUAGCUCAGAAUUUGUGAUCCGAAGUCAUUCAGAAAAACUGCAGUAAAUUAUUAUUCUGUGUUGCGGUACAGCCUGACUACUGAUCACUUGCCUGAGUACUGAGGACUCCCUGAUGUCAUUGUGAGAAUUUCCUCAAUUAUUUCCCAAUGGUCUUGGAAAUCUGGAAGGGGCCCAGUUGUCUGGAAGCUGGCUAACAUCAUUCCAGCUUUGAAGAAGGCAAGAAGGAAGACCCUUGUAAUUACAGGCCAGGAGUGGAUGAAGAAAGCAAGGAAGAAACCCUGCUCGGGACAUCUACAUAUGUUGUCAGGAAAGAGGAAACCCAGACCUUCCCUCUGCAGAUGCAGUCAGCGUGUGCGGGCAGGUCACCAUUCCUGAAAAGUUGUUACUUCCACAAGUCAAGGCAGAAGGAGCACAGAGGGUCCCUCCUGGAGCAGGGACUGCAACCUGACCAACAGAAAUAUGGUGGGGUUGGGAGGGUGGGCGAUGGGUGGCAGGGUGGCAAAAGUACAGCUGGGGCUGUCUCUGUCUUGCGGCCAUUUGGCACCCCAGUGCUGCACCUGCAAGGCAGGUGGUGGCAGGGAUGAUGCCCAGAACACCACAACAGGUGAGAAGGAGAAGACAGAGUAGCUGCCUCUUUGACUUGGGCCAAAGCAGGUCCUAGAGCUGCGCCCAGGCUGUCAAAUGGAGGUGGCUUGAAUCUGCUGUGAGUCUGCACAUCUCAGGAGUGACAUUUUUUUUGCCAUGCUUUCUUUCAGACAAAGAACCCCAGAGCCUUUCGGUGUUUGAAACUUGUUGUACAGAGCAACUGGGGAAAAUUGGGAUACACCUACAUUUCUUGGAUGCAUGUAGAAGGAAUGGACAUCAGGACAAAUGCUGACAGCUGAAUACCAAAGAAGACAUGCUGUCAGUAACAAUGUAAAAGUAAUAAAGAGAACUAGACCAGA